rnacentral:rRNA from 1 species
UACGAAGGGGGCUAGCGUUGUUCGGAAUUACUGGGCGUAAAGCGUAUACAGGCGGACUUUUAAGUCGGGGGUGAAAUCCCGAGGCUCAACCUCGGAACUGCCUUCGAUACUGGAAGUCUUGAGUCCGGGAGAGGUGAGUGGAACUCCGAGUGUAGAGGUGAAAUUCGUAGAUAUUCGGAAGAACACCAGUGGCGAAGGCGGCUCACUGGCCCGGUACUGACGCUGAGAUACGAAAGCGUGGGGAGCAAACAGG